rnacentral:rRNA from 1 species
GCAAGUCGAACGGAGUAAUGAAGUAGCAAUACUGAGUUACUUAGUGGCGAACGGGUGCGUAACACGUAGAUACAUACCGGGGAGUUGAGUAUAGCUCAGGGAAACCUGAGGUAAGCCUCAAUAUUCAUAUAGAGAAAAAUAGGCCUCACGGUCCAUUGCUCCCUGAUUGGUCUGCGGCCUAUCAGCUAGUUGGUGAGGUAAAGGCUCACCAAGGCAACGACGGGUAGCUGGUCUUAGAGGACGACCAGCCACACUGGAACUGAGACACGGUCCAGACACCUACGGGUGGCAGCAGUCGAGAAUCUUUCACAAUGGGGGCAACCCUGAUGGAGUGACGCCGCGUGGAGGAUAAGGUCUUCGGAUUGUAAACUCCUGUCAUGUGAGAUCAAGAUCCGGUGGUUAAUAGCCACCGUAUUUGAUAGUAUCACAAGAGGAAGGGACGGCAAACUCUGUGCCAGCAGCCGCGGUAAUACAGAGGUCUCAAGCGUUGUUCGGAUUUACUGGGCGUAAAGGGUGCGUAGGCCGUUGGGUAAGUCAUCCGCGAAAGCUUCAGGCUCAACCUGGAAACUGCAGAUGAUACUGCCUAACUAGAGGAUUUAAGGGGGGUUGGAAUUCAUGGAGUAGCAGUGAAAUGCGUAGAGAUCAUGAGGAACACCAAAGGCGAAGGCAGACCCCUGGGAAAUUCCUGACGCUGAUGCACGAAGGCCAAGGUAGCGAACGGGAUUAGAUACCCCGGUAGUCUUGGCAGUAAACGGUGCAUGCUUGGUUUGGGCGCCAUAUCACUGCGUCCGAGCCGUAGUUAACACGAUAAGCAUGCCGCCUGGGAAGUACGGUCGCAAGACUAAAACUCAAAGAAAUUGACGGGGACCCGCACAAGCGGUGGAGUAUGUGGCUUAAUUCGAUGCAACGCGAAGAACCUUACCUGAUUUGACAUGUAUUGAAACAUCAGUGAAAGCUGGUCGGCGGAGCAAUCCGCGCUUUACACAGGUGCUGCAUGGCUGUCGUCAGCUCGUGUCGUGAGAUGUUGGGUUAAGUCCCGCAACGAGCGCAACCCUUAUAGUCUGUUGCUAAUCCGCAAGGAUGCACUCUGACUAGACUGCCUAGAUUAACUAGGAGGAAGGUGGGGAUGACGUCAAGUCAGGAUGGCCCUUACAUCCAGGGCUGCACACGUACUACAAUGCCUAGCACAAUCGGAUCCGAAGUUGUAAAAUGGAGGAAAUCCCCAAAGCUAGGCUAAGUUCAGAUUGUGGGCUGCAACUCGCCCACAUGAAGUUGGAAUCGCUAGUAAUGGUAUAUCAGCUACGGUACCGUGAAUACGUUCCCGGGUCUUGUACACACCGCCCGUCACAUCAUGGAAAUUGGCCUUUCCCAAAGUAGUUUAGGCUCCUAAGGAAAGGCUGAUAACUGGGAUGAAGUCGUAACAAGGUAGCCGUAGGGGAGCCUGC